GGAGUCAUGUUUUGAAUCAUGGGAAGAGAGCUGGUCGGCCCCUUUAGGAUCCCUGAAGGAGUAAAGAUGACCUCUGCAAAGUAUGUGGAGUUUCUGACUGACCACUUUCUUCCCUGGUACAGAAGGAAGAACUAUGCUUUCCGCAAUAAAAUCAUCUUCAAGCAUGACAAUGCACCAUCUCAUGCUGCAAUGAAUACCUCUGCAUCAAUGGCUGCUAUGGGGAUAAAAGGAGAGAAAGUCAUGGUGUGGCCUCCAUCCUCCCCUGACCUCAAUCCUAUUGAGCACCUUUGAAUCAUCCUCAAGCAAAUGAUUUAUGAGGCUGGGAGGCAGUUUACAUCCAAAAAACAGCUCUGGGAGGCUAUUCUGACAUCUUGCAAACAAAUUCAAGCAGAAACUGUCCACAAACUCACAAGUUCUAUGGAUGCAAGACUUGUGAAGCUGCCGUCAAAUAAGGGUUCCUAUGUUAAAAUGUAACGUGACCUGUUAAAAUGUUAAAAAAGUUAAAAUGUUGUUAUAAGUUUGAUUGAAAUAGCUUUUGAUUUCAGUAAAUGUGCUGCAAACACAACAAAUGACAAUUUUCAGUUCUUU